rnacentral:lncRNA from 1 species
GGCGCGUGCGUGCGGGGCGGGCGACGCUGGGUGCGUGUGUGGUGUGUGUGCGGGUGAGUGCGUGUGUGUUGUGUUUUCUUUUUUUUUUUGAGUGAAAUGCAGAUUCGCCAAGUGCCAGAUCGACGGCACUUGGCGAAGAAGUCUUCGCCAAGUGCCAGAUCGGCGGCACUUGGCGAAGAAGUCUUCGCCAAGUGCCAGAUCGGCGGCACUCGACGAAUGGAGCGCGUGAGCCGGCGUUCAUUUUAAACGAACGAAAACUUCGCCAAGUGCCACGUGGCUGGCACUUGGCGAAGAGAGGACCCUGGAAAUUGCGUGGAAGCCCACAUGUGAUCAUAUGAGGAGAUGUUGGGUUUCUGAACGUCCGACGUGCAAACUUGCUCCAAACUUUUUCAAAUUUUUAUCAUAGCCUUCCCAUACCAUAUCAAGGACGGUGGACAAGUUUCGUGGUUUUCCGAGUUCAUUUGAUUUUUUUAUAAUUAAAAAACCCCGCGCACGCAAGUUGGAAGCGUUGCCCCGCGAGCACGCUCAUCGACAUUUGGUGCCAGGACAUGGAUUUGACCUAAUUGCAUCCACACAAGCAAGAAUAGCAACGUUGUAACCAUAGGACACUAUUAUUCCAUGCACCUGCAGUUCAAAUCGAAUUCGUCGGAAAAAAUGGAACGAGUCGCAACUAAAUGAAAAAAUAUAGAAAAAAAACUUCAAAAUGCACCAAACCUUGACAAGUUACUAAAGAUAGGGUACUAAACCUCCACAAAAAAUUUGGGAGCAAAACUCAAAAAGAAAAAUUUUGACUUCGCCAAGUGCUAGGGUUGGCACUUGGCGAAGAGGUCUUCGCCAAGUGCCAGCAACGUGGCACUUGGCGAAGAGCGCUUCCAGGCAAUUUCCCAGGGUCCUCUCUUCGCCAAGUGCCACGUGUAUGGCACUCGGCGAAGCCUCGUCUUCGCCAAGUGCCAGACGGAGGCACUUGGCGAAGCCGACGGCAAGGGAUGGGGAUGGAUGC